CUGCUGCCUCCCGUAGGAGUCUGGGCCGUGUCUCAGUCCCAAUGUGGCCGUCCACCCUCUCAGGCCGGCUACUGAUCGUCGGCUUGGUGAGCCGUUACCUCACCAACUACCUAAUCAGACGCGGGUCCAUCUUACACCACCUCAGUUUUUACCUCUGUACCAUGCGGUACCGGGGUCUUAUGCGGUAUUAGCAGUCAUUUCUAACUGUUAUCCCCCUGUGUAAGGCAGGUUACCCACGCGUUACUCACCCGUCCGCCGCUCAGU
rnacentral:rRNA from 1 species